GGGCUCCACCCUCCACCUUCUCCUCCUCGUCCCGAUUUGCGAUGCGUUUAGAACUCGAACGCCUCCUCCCUUCCAAUCCCUUUCCCUUUGUCCCCUUCGUCUCCUUUGACCUUGCUGCCCUCAACCUCGACACCAUUGCCGCGGUGGCGAGUUCACGUCCUCCUCCCUCCGUCCUCCUCGCUAACUCAGAUCUCCAACGAAGCCCUCUCCUUUGCGCUCCGCCACGGCCGACUUCCAAGUCCAACGCUGCCUUCUGCGCCCGAGUUCGGGGUGCCGCCCGUCCCACAUCCUGCGAAGUAAGGGCAUCUCAUGAAAAAACCCUGUGAGAAGUUUUCAAAUUUCUGUCCUUUUCUUCUCAAUUUGUUGCUCAGAAGGCUAUAAAUGAUGAUUAGCUUCAAAUACGUAAGUAAAUUGCGCUCAAGAAUACCUUGGCUGGUAGAUUUCUAUCUGUUUCUUUAAACCGAAGACCUUUUGCUUAUAAAAUUUUUUCUUUGCAGUAGUCUAUGAUAAGGAGGUGCUGAAAUAUUGGCUUUUCUUUCUUUCUUCUUCUUUGUUUUUUUUUGUGGAUUUCAGCUAGACGAUGAGAGUUGCUUGUGCCUAUUUGGGGAUGCAUAAUUCUGAUAUCUUCAGUGCCAAAGUUCUUCAGAUGGGACUAUAGUCUGUAGCUAUGUAUCUGCCAACCAUUGCAUCGAUCGGAAGUUGACAGUCAUCUUUAGGGACAAUGUUCAAAUCCAUAGGCUUGCAAUGCUACAAUUCAGAACCAAGAAAAGUUUCCCUGCAUCUCUUUAUAUAUAACUACCAGGACAUAUGAAGAACACUACCCGGGAAUCCUUCAAUCUAUGCUUGGCUCAUAUAGCCCUUCAAGCUGUGCUUCUCUUGCUUGCUUUCCAUUGCGUUCAUCUAAAUGGUGAGCAUGCAUCCACCAUUUGCCCGGAGAUUGAACGGGCAACCCUCAUGCAAUUAAUUCAAAAGAUGCCCUGGAGUGUUGUUAAAAAUUAAAAAUCCAUUGUGGUUUUAGUAUUGGUUGAUAGUGUGAUAUCAAUUGAAUUCAGAGUAUAUAUUUGUCCUUGGCCGCACCUGCAAAGUUCUAAUAUGACAUGUCUGGUUCAUGGGAAGAGAAUAAAGAAACAUAUGGUCAAACAGAAAAAUAGAAAAAUAUCUGACAUUGGAGUUUUCAAAAAGAAAAGAUCGAAUAAUAGCUUUUCAAUAAAAAUAAAAUUUUUAUAUUUUAUGAAAAAAAUGUAUAUGGAAUAUAAAAAAAUUUAAUUUCCACCAAUUAAAAAUUUAGAUAAUUUUUUUUAAAAAAUAAUUUUAAGCUUUUAGAUAUAAGAGAUAAAAUUUUAUUCUUUAUUAAGAGCAUAACAGAUAUUUUACAUAAUUUUUUCAAAAAAAAUAGGUGAUCAGAGCAAUUUUGAAAUGUACCAUUUUUCUAUUGUAAAUCAAAAUAUGAAAACUUUAUUUUUCAAUAUAUCAGUUUUUUUACAAAAAAUAUUAUAAUGAGCAAAAAUUUAUGCUGCCAGCCCACUAAAUCCUCAUAAUUGGUCCCGAGGUUCGUUGGGCUGGGCCGUGCUAUUGGGUCCAAACCAAGCGCACUUACAACUUCGGUGAGUCCGAAAUGUAACGCGUCAAGCCCCGACCACUAUGCCUGAGACGCGUGUCUGUUUCCUAUUGGUCUCACGGGCCGCACCGCACCUAUAAAACCCAGCCGGGAACCCUAACAUCUUCCCCCAAAUCGAACAUGGUUUCAAGGUUUCACAGCCGCCUCCUCGUUCCCCUUCCGGCUCCGGUUCUCCCUACGUCCUUGCUAAACAACUGGAUCUAUUAUGGAACCUUCAAUUUGGCAUCACAGAUUGCAGCCAAUCUUCCUAUCAGUGCGUGUGUUGAGCUUAGGGCAGGUGAAAGUCAUCACUACUUUGUAAGAGUGUUGUGAUCAUAGCAUAUUACACAAAGGGCUCGUUUGUUUCGCAGGAAAAGAAGGGGGAAAUGUAUGGUCAACGGGAAAGUAAUAAGAUGCCUCUUAUUUGGUUGGAGUUUUCAAUGAA